AGAGUUUGAUCCUGGCUCAGGAUGAACGCUGGCGGCGUGCGUAACACAUGCAAGUUGAACGACGGUGCCAUGAAGUGGUAACACGGAGUGGUAUACGGAGUAGCGGACGGGUGAGUAAAGCAUGAGAAUCUGUCCUGUCGAGGGGGAUAACGUUCGGAAACGGACCCUAAUACCCCAUAGUCCGAGAGGUUAAAGGCAGCGAUGCGCGGCAGGAGGAGCUCGUGUCCUAUCAGCUAGUUGGUGAGGUAACGGCUCACCAAGGCAACGACGGGUAGCCGGCCUGAGAGGGUGACCGGCCACACUGGAACUGAGAAACGGUCCAGACUCCUACGGGAGGCAGCAGUGGGGAAUAUUGGGCAAUGGGAGGAAUCCUGACCCAGCGACGCCGCGUGAACGAAGACGGCCUUCGGGUUGUAAAGUUCUUUUAUGUGGGAAGAAUGAAGUGACGGUACCACAUGAAUAAGCCCCGGCUAACUACGUGCCAGCAGCCGCGGUAAUACGUAGGGGGCGAGCGUUGUCCGGAAUUACUGGGCGUAAAGGGCACGCAGGCUGUGCUUCAAGUCAGCUGUAAAAGGAUGCGGCUUAACCGUGUUAUGCGGCUGAGACUGAGGUGCUGGAGUACCGGAGAGGCAAGUGGAAUUCCCAGUGUAGCGGUGAAAUGCGUAGAUAUUGGGAAGAACAUCGGUGGCGAAGGCGACUUGCUGGACGGUAACUGACGCUGAGGUGCGAAAGCCAGGGUAGCGAACGGGAUUAGAUACCCCGGUAGUCCUGGCUGUAAACGAUGAAUGCUAGGUGUGCGAGCAGAGAUGUUGGUGUGCCGCAGUUAACGCGAUAAGCAUUCCGCCUGGGGAGUACGGUCGCAAGAUUGAAACUCAAAGGAAUUGACGGGGGCCCGCACAAGCGGUGGAGCACGUGGUUUAAUUCGAUGCAAACCGAAGAACCUUACCUGGGUUUGACAUGUAUGUGGUAGGAGAUGGAAACAUUGACGACGCUGCUUUCGGGCAGUGAGCAUACACAGGUGCUGCAUGGCUGUCGUCAGCUCGUGUCGUGAGAUGUUGGGUUAAGU
rnacentral:rRNA from 1 species